rnacentral:rRNA from 1 species
UGCGUAGGUGGCGAAGUAAGUCGGAUGUGAAAUCUCCGAGCUCAACUCGGAAACUGCAUUGGAAACUACUUUGCUUGAGGGUUGGAGGGGGGACUGGAAUACUUGGUGUAGCAGUGAAAUGCGUAGAUAUCAAGUGGAACACCAGUGGCGAAGGCGAGUCCCUGGACAACUCCUGACACUGAGGCACGAAAGCUAGGGGAGCAAACA